GAGGAAGGUGGGACAAGGCUAGACUUCUAAUCUGGGCUUGGGUAGUUCGACUCUAUCCCUUUCUUU
rnacentral:tRNA from 1 species